rnacentral:sRNA from 1 species
CUUCCUCGAUCUGCUGCGGGCUGAUGAAGUGUAUGUGCGUAUCGAUGCCGCCCGCCGUCACGAUCAGGCCUUCGCCGGCGAUCACUUCGGUCGACGCGCCGAUCGCAAUCGUCACAUUCGGCUGGAUGUCCGGAUUGCCGGCCUUGCCGAUCGCGGCGAUGCGGCCGUCCUUGAUGCCGAUGUCGGCCUUCACGAUGCCCCAAUGGUCAAGGAUCACCGCGUUCGUCACGACCGUAUCGACGACCUCGGCAUGCACCCGCUGCGACUGGCCCAUGCCGUCGCGAAU